AUGAGCUGGUGGUGGGCGGGCGCGGUGGGCGCGGUCAAGAAGCGGCAGGACGAGCGGGCGGCGGCGGCCGAGCCCACCUUCCAGAGCGUGGCGCUCAUCCUCGGCUCCACGGGGAUCGUCGGCACCUCCCUCCUCGACAUCCUCCCGCGGGACGACACCCCGGGCGGGCCCUGGAAGGUGUACGCCGUCUCCCGCCGCGCGCCGCCGGGCUGGUCCACCCCGCCGCCGUCCCCGGCCGUCACGCACCUCCAGCUCGACCUCGCCGACCCGGCCGCCGUCAGGGACGCCCUGACGCCGCUCACCGACGUCACCCACGUCUUCUACGCCGCGUGGUCCAGCCACGAGACCGAGGACCGCAACCGGGAGGUCAACGCCGGCAUGCUCCGCAACGUGCUCUCCGUGGUUGUGCCCGGCUGCCCCGCGCUCGCCCACGUCUGCCUCCAGACCGGCCGCAAGCACUACGUCGGCCCGUUUGAUGUCAUCGGCAAGAUCCCGGCCCCCGACCCGCCGUACACCGAGGACAUGCCCCGGUUGGAUCACCCCAACUUCUACUACGACCUGGAGGACGUCCUCUUCGACCACGUCUCCGGCCGCGACGGCGCCGUCACCUGGUCCGUGCACCGCCCCACCGUCAUCUUCGGCUUCUCCCCCCGCAGCGCCAUGAACGUGGUCGGCAGCCUGUGCGUAUACGCCGCCAUCUGCCGCAAGGAGGGCGCCACGCUGCGGUGGCCCGGCUGCAAGGUCGCCUGGGAGGGCUUCACCGACGCCUCCGACGCCGACCUUGUCGCUGAGCAUGAGAUCUGGGCGGCCGUCGACCCGUUUGCCAAGAACGAGGCUUUCAAUUGCAGCAAUGGGGAUGUGUUCAAGUGGAAGCAACUCUGGCCGCUGCUGGCCGACCGCUUCGGGGUGGAGUGGGCAGGGUAUGAGGGAGAGGACAGCCGGUUUGCGCUCGCGGAUGCCAUGGCUGGGAAGGAGGCGGUGUGGACGGAGAUCAUCCAGGAGAACGAGCUUGUCACCACGGAGCUCGAGGAGAUCACCAGUUGGUGGUUUGUCGAUGCCAUGCUCAGUAUCGACAUUGAGCAUUUGGACAACAUGAACAAGAGCAAGGAGCAUGGGUUCCUCGGCUUCCGUAACACCAUCAACUCCUUCAAUGCUUGGAUCGAUAAGAUGAAGGCUUCCAAGGUUGUUCCUUGA
rnacentral:rRNA from 1 species